CACAGAGAAGCAGAGCAAAGACACAGGGAGAAGGAAGAACUCAUCCCUCCUCCUCAGGUCCCCACUGCGAGGAGGAACGUGCAGAGGCCCAGAUGGGAAGGAGGCCUGGGACAGCUGAGGCUCUCUGGGACCUGGACCUCUUUGUUGCUCCUGCUUUGGCCUGAAAAGCUCCCCUGAGCCUUCAGGAAGGGCAUGCAGCCAAAGGCCCAUCGAGAAGGAAUGGUAGCUCCCAGUCAUUGAGGACUUACCUUGUGUUGGAGGCCUUGUGUGUACUUCCCAACACACCUGUAUGGUGUGGACGAUGACUGAUUGACACAGGGGGACAAAGCCUGGCCUGCUUACCUCAAGGGGGGACAACUCUGGACCAUUCACCCCCCGGAGUUCCCCAUGGGAUCAGGCUGAGGUUAGACUCUGCUCAGACUCCAUCCUUGUGGAGCAUCUUCCCCGCCCUGUCCUGCUUCCCUCCUUCCCCUUCUCCUGAGAUCAUUUCCUCAGUAAACAUGUGCUCAAG
rnacentral:lncRNA from 1 species